rnacentral:rRNA from 1 species
GAUCAUGGCUCAGGAUGAACGCUGGCGGCGUGCUUAACACAUGCAAGUCGAACGGGAAACUUUUCAUUGAAGCUUCGGCAGAUUUGAUCUGUUUCUAGUGGCGGACGGGUGAGUAACGCGUGGGUAACCUGCCUUAUACAGGGGGAUAACAACCAGAAAUGGUUGCUAAUACCGCAUAAGCGCACAGGACCGCAUGGUCCGGUGUGAAAAACUCCGGUGGUAUAAGAUGGACCCGCGUUGGAUUAG